rnacentral:rRNA from 1 species
AUUGAACGCUGGCGGCAGGCCUAACACAUGCAAGUCGCACGAGUGGCGGACGGGUGAGUAAUGCCUGGGAAACUGCCCGAUGGAGGGGGAUAACUACUGGAAACGGUAGCUAAUACCGCCUACUAUCAGAUGUGCCCAGAUGGGAUUAGCUAGUUGGUGAGGUAAAGGCUCACCUAGGCUACGACCUCUAGCUGGUCUGGGAGGAUGACCAGCCACACUGGAACUGAGACACGAUCCAGACUCCUACGGGAGGCAGCAGUGGGGAAUAUUAGACAAUGGGCGCAAGCCUGAUGCAGCCAUGCCGCGUGUAUGAAGAAGGCCUUCGGGUUGUAAAGUACUUUCAGCGGGGAGGCGUUACCCGCAGAAGAAGCGCCGGCUAACUCCGUGCCAGCAGCCGCGGUAAUUC